UCCAGCCUUCUGCUCUCUGCUUCCUGUCCGCCUUGCAGUGAGCUGCUCUCCUCCUCCUGGUUCCUCUGUGGAACCAGCCGACCCUGGACUGAAACCGCUCCUCUUUCAAGUCGGGGUGUCAGGGAUGGCACCCCAGCAACAGGAUACACGACUACGGCCACACGCAUAUUCAGAGAAUUAGAGAACAAGACUCUGGGAGCAAAAGGACAACACAAGCAGGAGAUGGUCGUGUGAGUGGAUGAUGAUGGCAAUGAUGAUGACUUUGACAUUGUGAGCAAAAGUUCCUGUGACAGUGAAAUGGAGCAAGAAUCAACUGACAGACACAGGGAAUGCAGACUUCUUUGACUCAGAUGACGAAGAAAAUAGCAAUGUGGGAAAAUUUACAUUGGUAUUGUUUAUGGCAAAGGAAAUCACACUGGUACUACUGAUGUCAGCAUUUCACCAUGGUGAAGAUAUUAAUAGGGAAACCUUGACAAAAUGGAAGCCUGAGACGGACACUUUGUACAACAAAACCAAACGCACAGGAGAAGUUGUUGAUGAGUUAUACAGCAACUGUGAUGUCACUCAAAACACAAAGCAUGGUUCAGUGGUUGUGUGUUACUCAAUCCUAAAAAUGUGUGGCAUAUAAAGUUUGACAGUUUACAGAGAAAAUGACAAGUACAAAGUCCCACAGAGAAAUUUUCUUAGAGGUUUCAGAGUGGAACUCAUAAGAGAUCAUUUGCCGCAGAGAAAAACUACACAAAAUAUUGUGAAGCACACUGCUGAGCUGCCAGGUGGUCAGCAUCCCUAAGACCUACUAUGAAAAAAACCAAAAAUAUGUCAACUGUGCCCCACGAGAAAGGACAGAAAACCAAAAUGCGUGUACUAUCAUUGAAGUGAUACUUGUGUAUGAAACACCUUUCAUGUGUGAAGUCUGCCUUGGGUGUGGCAACUGAAGUAAAGAUUAUUAUUGUUGUAGAGGUUGUUGGUAAUUUCAUUGCGGUUAACCUAGGCUUUUAUUUCUGAUGUUAUCUGUUAGCAAAUACAUAACUAAUGUGAAAAUGUUGGUUUCUAUCUAAGCAGUCAUUACAUAUUUGAUGUUUUAUUUUAUUGCUAUCCUAUUUUUCUGCUAAGUGUACACUAAACAACAUAGUGGAAAGUUCCUGACAAAACAGGAAGAGCGUGACAAGAUUGCCACAUGGGAAAGGACAGUUGAGCACACGCACUGCCAGCGUAGCGAGACCUGUGCGUGAAACAUGCAGCUGUCAUGUGUGAAGCCUGCCACACAUGUGAAGGUGUGAAGGUGACAGCGAGAGCAAAGGUAUUUCUGUGCCAGCCUUUCCUUUGUGUCUGCGUUGCGGCUCGCUGGGCUUUUAUUUCUAAUGCUAUCUCUUAUGCUUUGUAAGCAAGAACACAGCUGAUUGGAAAAUGUUGACGUCCAUUGUAGCACUCAUUACACAUUAGAAUUUUAUUUUAUUUACAUCUUAUUUCCUUAUUUAGGUACAAUAAUUGAGGUAAAAUUUUUUUGGUGGAGUGCUGUUGGUAUUUUCAUUGUAUUUCUUGUAGGAAUGUAACUCUGUUGUUCUGUUUUACACCAAAAACCAGCCCACGCUGAAAAUUUUGAUCCUUUUUUAUAAACUCAGUGAAUAUUAAAAAUGCAAUAUUUUGUUUUGUGAUUUUGUUUACUGUUAAGCACUCAUUGUUUAAUAUAAUAGAAUUCAUAAAAUUCAAACUAAUACUUCAUCAACAGAACCCUUCUAAUGAGUAAACACGACUGACACCCCGAUGUCACGCUACGAGGUGGUGAGCAGUAUGUUAGGCUAGCAGGGUUUUAAGAGCUGUGAAAUGAACAGCCCUCACAUGCGACCCGGGCCGCACGAGCAGAUGCCUUCAGCGGGACCACUGGCUGCUGACUCACAGCCAGCUUUCUAAGGUGCUGUGAAGCCUUCGCGUCCGUCACAGGGUGGCCUAGUCGGGGGCAGCCCAGUGUCCCUCUCUAUCCCCCUCCCAGGAUGCCUGGGAGGGGAAGGGACAGCAGAUUCUGUUGUCUUCCCGAGGCCUCUGCUCAGCUUCAGCCCACAUCAGGAGGCUGGGAGGUAGAGACCACUCAGCUUGUCACUAGCCAGUGGCGGGGCGUGGCCUCGCUCCUGUGCAUCUUGGCGGCUUGGUGGCCUGCUCUGGAGCUGGGCCUGUCUCCACCUGCAGGUUGAACGGGUGCUGU